AACGAACGCUGGCGGCAGGCUUAACACAUGCAAGUCGAACGCCCCGCAAGGGGAGUGGCAGACGGGUGAGUAACGCGUGGGAAUCUACCUAGUUCUACGGAACAACAGUUGGAAACGACUGCUAAUACCGUAUACGCCCUAUGGGGGAAAGAUUUAUCGGAAUUGGAUGAGCCCGCGUAAGAUUAGCUAGUUGGUGGGGUAAUGGCCUACCAAGGCGACGAUCUUUAGCUGGUCUGAGAGGAUGAUCAGCCACACUGGGACUGAGACACGGCCCAGACUCCUACGGGAGGCAGCAGUGGGGAAUAUUGGACAAUGGGCGCAAGCUUGAUCCAGCCAUGCCGCGUGAGUGAUGAAGGCCUUAGGGUUGUAAAGCUCUUUCACCGAUGAAGAUAAUGACGGUAGUCGGAGAAGAAGCCCCGGCUAACUUCGUGCCAGCCGCCGCAGUAACAC
rnacentral:rRNA from 1 species